rnacentral:tRNA from 1 species
GCAGAGAUGGCGCAGUGGUUAAGAGCACUGACUGCUCUUCCAGAGGUCCUGAGUUCAAUUCCCAGCAACCACA